rnacentral:rRNA from 1 species
UGGGGAAUAUUGCACAAUGGGCGAAAGCCUGAUGCAGCCAUGCCGCGUGAGUGAAGAAGGCCCUAGGGUUGUAAAACUCUUUCACCAGGGAAGAUAAUGACGGUACCUGGAGAAGAAGCCCCGGCUAACUCCGUGCCAGCAGCCGCGGUAAUACGGAGGGGGCUAGCGUUGUUCGGAAUUACUGGGCGUAAAGCGCGCGUAGGCGGAUUGGUCAGUCAGAGGUGAAAUCCCGAAGCUCAACUUCGGAACUGCCUUUGAUACUGCCGAUCUAGAGUCCGGGAGAGGUGAGUGGAAUUCCUAGUGUAGAGGUGAAAUUCGUAGAUAUUAGGAAGAACACCAGUGGCGAAGGCGGCUCACUGGCCCGGUACUGACGCUGAGGUGCGAAAGCGUGGGGAGCAAACAGGAUUAGAUACCCCCGUAGUCC